ensembl:lncRNA
AAUUUAUAUGCAUAGAUACAGUCGUAGUGCUUGACACAUGCACACAGCAGUAGAUGUACUAAAAAGGAAAUAAUUACAAUCAUGAUGAUGAUUGCUGAUGUCAGUAUAUAUAUUUUAGGGGAAUGUUUUGUUUUUCACCCAAAAUGAACUAUAUUGCUUCAGAAGAGAUUUAUUACUCUGCCUGACUCUUAUAUAUUGUUCUGUUUUUUGUUUGUUUUUGUUAUUUUCAGGUUCAAUGGUGCGUGUUCUUCUAAUGGCCGCCUUCCCACUGGAGGUUUUGAUCCACAGCAAUUUAAAAGGAGGACAAAUCAAAACGGACAUCGGCGCAGAGUGAAGAACUGUCCUUCAUAAGGACACUAUGACAGCCAUAUAUAUGGCAGUAAGGAAGAGGUUUCCCAAUGUGUCCAGAAGGGCUUUGAGGAUUGCAGUGAAAGCUGGGGGAACUGAGACUGCUGGAAAAGGAAAAGAAAUUACAUUUAAAGUAUGUUGACUUAUGUUCAUA